GAAAUGNUUAGAUAUCACGAAGAACUCCGAUUGCGAAGGCAGCUUGCUGGACUGUAACUGACGCUGAGGCACGAAAGCGUGGGGAUCAAACAGGAUUAGAUACCCUGGUANNCCACGCCGUAAACGAUGAAUGCUAGCUGUUAGCGAUAUACUGUUAGCGGCACAGAGAAAUCGUUAAGCAUUCCACCUGGGGAGUACGCCGGCAACGGUGAAACUCAAAGGAAUUGACGGGGGCCCGCACAAGCGGAGGAACAUGUGGUUUAAUUCGAUGAUACGCGAGGAACCUUACCUGGGCUUAAAUUGCAGUGGAAUAACGUGGAAACAUGUUAGCCUUCGGGCCGCUGUGAAGGUGCUGCAUGGUUGUCGUCAGCUCGUGCCGUGAGGUGUCGGCUUAAGUGCCAUAACGAGCGCAACCCUCAUCGAUAGUUACUAACAGGUUAAGCUGAGGACUCUAUCGAGACUGCCGACGUAAGUCGUGAGGAAGGUGGGGAUGACGUCAAAUCAGCACGGCCCUUACGUCCAGGGCUACACACGUGUUACAAUGGGGGGUACAAAGGGCAGCUACCUGGCGACAGGAUGCUAAUCUCAAAAACCUCUCUCAGUUCGGAUUGGAGUCUGCAACUCGACUCCAUGAAGCUGGAUUCGCUAGUAAUCGCGCAUCAGCCAUGGCGCGGUGAAUACGUUCCCGGGCCUUGUACACACCGCCCGUCAAGCCAUGGAAGCUGGGGGUACCUGAAGUAUGCAACCGCAAGGAGCGUCCUAGGGUAAAACCGGUAACUGGGGCU
rnacentral:rRNA from 1 species